rnacentral:rRNA from 1 species
GGGGGGGGGGGGGGGGGGGGCGGGGGCAGGGGGGGGGGGCGGGGGCCGGAAGGAGGGUGCUGAGUUGCGGACGAGGGGCGGACGGGGGAGUAAGUUCGGGGAAAGUUCCUGAUGGAGGGGGGUGACUACUGGAAACGGUAGCUCAUACCGCAUAACGUCGCAAGACCAAAAAUCGGGACCUUCCGGGCUCUUGCCAUCCGAUUGGCCCAGAUGGGAUUAGCUAGGAGGUGGGGUAACGGCUCACCUAGGCGACGAUCCCUAGCUGGUCUGAGAGGAUGACCAGCCACACUGGAACUGAGACACGGUCCAGACUCCUACGGGAGGCAGCAGUGGGGAGUAUUGCACAAUGGGCGCAAGCCUGAUGCAGCCAUGCCGCGUGUAUGAAGAAGGCCUUCGGGUUGUAAAGUACUUUCAGCGGGGAGGAAGGGAGUAAAGUUAAUACCUUUGCUCAUUGACGUUACCCGCAGAAGAAGCACCGGCUAACUCCGUG